UGUUUCAUUCCAAUGCCAAUUCCAAGUAAGCAUACAAAUAUCGGCCGUUCUCAGAGCUGGGAUGCUGCAGGAUGGUAUGAAGGCAACUGGGAGAAUGAAAAUGCAUUUGAAUAUCAGAGACCAACAGGGAGGAGAAAUUCGCUGACUUACGGUGGAGAAGGAGGUUGGUAUGAGCAGCCAAACCAUAGACCGCAUGAUAUCAUCUUGCAAGGAGGUGCUGAAUUGAAGCAAGAGCCAUACCCAUAUCAGGAUCCAGUUUUUAACCAGGGUCCCUUACGGAAGGGUUCUGUUCCUGACUUCACUUACUACAACAGACAGGCUGCAAUGUCUGGACGAAGCUCCUUGCCAUCUCAGGAUUAUUACAGUGACCCAUCUUUAGCCGCUAGAUCACCUAAAGAUCCGCGCUACUAUAGAGACCACAUGAUUAAUAGAUCAUUACCGAAUUAUGGGAUUCCCAGUAGCAGAUUGGCUUGGGAUCAGGUACAAGGACGGUCACCUGCCCAACACGAAGCCAGCCGUAUGUAUAGGGAUCCCAUGAGUAAAAUGAUCCAAGAGGGGCAGAGAAUGCGAAACAGAGAUCCUUCUCCUGCAAGGUAUGGUGUUGAACAGCCCACCCCUAGAUAUGGAACAGAACCAUCAUCAUUUCCCAACAGGCAGGUCUAUAGUGAUACAGCAGAGAGACCUAUAGAGUCUGCAGCUGCUAGACAAACUACUCCAACGUGCUUGGUAGUCGAUCCAAAUUCUGCUACUGUUCCUGAUGGGAGCAUAGGUCCAUCUGCCGUUGCUGUAAAUCGUGGUUAUGGACCCAUCAGGGAAAAUGUCAAUGCAAAGAUUCCUUAUGAUAGUUAUGAAUCUGCCAUGACUCCUUCCCAUUCUCAGAUGCCCUCAGCUUUCCCAGGACAAGACAUUAAAAGAAACUUUGAUCCGGAGUUCCUAGCACUUCUGCGUUCAGAAGGCGUGUCCGAAAGCACAUUCAAUGCUUUGCUGCAGCAAGGGUUUGAUUCUCCGAGCCUGCUCGCGAUGAUGGAAGAGAAUGAUAUAAAAUCUGUAGCUCCAAAUCUUGGACAGGCCAGGGUGCUUUCCCGUAUUGCCCAUAACUACAAAACAGAAAUGCAGCUACAAAGGCAUGAUAGGAAGAACAGCACACUCCGUCCCAGGACCCGAUCUAACAGCUUUAGUCAUCGAAGUGAACUGCUGCAGAAUGAAUAUGGCAUGCACCCUGCCACGGGUCCUGGUGUAGACGGCACAACUAUGCAGCAACCACCUCCUCCUUCUCUACAGCCAGUAUCACCAAGAGUAGGAGAAAUAAAUCGUCGCCCAUCCAGUGCCCCCACACAGCACCUUCUGGAAACUGCAACUUAUUCUGCAUCUGGGGCAACUCAUCAAGGUGCUCAUUUUCUAGCUAAUUCUGGAUACAACACUCCUUUACCAUGCAACAUGCACACUCGUCCAGUGUCUGCCUAUUCCACUCCAACUGGAUUACCAGGGACUACAGUGCAGACUAACCCACAUGCAAGUCCCAAAACAGCAUAUCCAACCACUUACACAGUGCCCAUGGAGCUGCUGAAGAGGGACCGAAAUACGUCAAUGUCCCCAAUGCAUAGCCCACACAACAGCCCUCAGCUUCUCCGAAAGCAAGGAGCCCAAAUGGAUUCCACCCUGGCUCUUGCUGGCCCAAGUUUUCACAUGCAACAUUCUCCUUAUCAGAAACUCACCAGACGCACUGGACCACCAGUUAUUGUCUCAACCAUGGCGUCACCUGAACCAAGUAUUCGCCCACAAAUAAUGAAUGGCCCUAUGCAUCCUCGUCCUUUGGUGGCUUUGUUAGAUGGAAGGGACUGUACAGUGGAGAUGCCAAUUUUGAAAGACUUGGCUACUGUUGCAUUCUGUGAUGCACAAUCAACUCAGGAGAUUCACGAGAAGGUAUUAAAUGAAGCCGUUGGGGCAAUGAUGUACCACACUAUCACCCUCACCCGAGAAGAUCUAGAGAAGUUCAAGGCCUUAAGGGUCAUCGUUCGAAUAGGCAGUGGCUAUGACAACAUCGAUAUCAAAGCUGCAGGGGAGCUCGGGAUUGCUGUCUGCAAUAUCCCAUCAGCAGCUGUGGAAGAGACUGCAGAUUCCACCAUAUGCCAUGUCCUAAACCUCUACAGGCGGAACACGUGGCUGUAUCAAGCACUGAGGGAAGGGACCCGGGUGCAGAGUGUGGAACAGAUAAGGGAGGUGGCCUCAGGAGCAGCUCGGAUCAGAGGAGAAACUCUCGGCCUCAUUGGAUUUGGUCGCACUGCGCAGGCAGUUGCAGUUCGAGCCAAGGCAUUUGGAUUCAGUGUGAUAUUUUACGACCCAUACCUGCAGGAUGGGAUAGAAAGGUCUCUGGGCGUCCAGCGAGUCUACACACUCCAGGACCUGCUAUAUCAGAGUGACUGUGUAUCGUUGCACUGUAACCUUAACGAACAUAAUCACCACCUUAUCAAUGACUUCACGAUUAAGCAGAUGAGGCAGGGAGCAUUCCUAGUAAACACAGCACGCGGUGGGCUUGUGGACGAGAAAGCCUUAACUCAAGCCCUGAAGGAAGGAAGGAUACGAGGAGCAGCGCUUGAUGUGCAUGAAUCAGAGCCAUUUAGUUUUGCUCAAGGCCCAUUGAAAGAUGCUCCUAAUUUAAUUUGUACUCCGCACACUGCUUGGUACAGCGAGCAGGCAUCCCUAGAGAUGAGAGAGGCUGCUGCUACUGAAAUCCGUCGCGCAAUCACAGGUCGCAUCCCAGAAAGCCUAAGAAACUGCGUGAACAAGGAAUUCUUUGUCACAACAGCCCCAUGGUCAGUAAUAGAUCAGCAAGCACUUCAUCCAGAGCUCAAUGGUGCCACAUACAGAUCAGCCACUUUUGGAGUAUGCUUGCCCACUGUAAAGUAUGAGCGCAUUUUUCAGGUGUAGCAGUAGAGGCCAGGAUACCAGGUAUUUUAAUGAGAUGCAACAUGUGUGUGUCCACAGCGUGUGUUGGGAUGAAACCAUCUACUUCCCUUCUCACCUUCACCUCUGAGUUCCAUGUAAGUCUAACCCUGCUCCUGAAAUUUCUUACCCACAUCUUUUCUUUUAGCCCUUGCCCUCUCCAUUUCAUACCAAAGCUACUAUUAUCUUCAUCUGAAUGGCUGCCUCUCCCUCCUCAGUCUCUUUGAGCUGUUGUCACUUCAGCAGAGUCUGUUGCAUCCCCCUCUUGUGCACUUUCCUUCUGGAACAUACUCUUCCCUUUGUGACUGCUCCUCUGCUGGAAGGGACUUCAUGCUUGGCCCUUGCUCCAGUUUUACACAUGCUUUUGAUGCCUUAGUUUCAGCUCUCCCCUCCAUACUGAUGACUUACAGAUCUUUCUCCAUCAGACUCAUCUUGUAUUUCUUCCUGGCUGUCACAUUUCCUUUGCAAGCUCAGAAUCGGUUCUGCUCUCCACCUACAUCUCUUCCUCUCUUUAUUAUGGUUGAAAAUGCCACCACCCUCCAGCACCUAAGUUAAUCAUCAUGAUUUUGCUUUUGCUGCCUCUCCCCACCUCAGGCUUCGAGUGAGAUCAUGUCGUUUCUUUCUUUCCCUAACAUCUGUCCUGUCCCCUCCAUCUCUGAUCCAUGCCUUGGUUAUCUCAUCUUGUCUACUAUAAACUCCACCAGUCUGCCCUCUGUGUUUAUCACCAUAUGCCCUGCCAGAGUGUGACUGCAUUAUUGGCUCCUGCCCCUCUUAAUCCCAUCAUUUUUCUUCAUACUAAGCUCAAGGUAUUUGUCCUUGUCCUCUUUCAAGGUUCUGCAUCAUUCCCCCUCUGCAUACAUCUCAUCUUACAAGCCCUAUCGCUCGCUGUGUUCCUUCCUACUUUUAGCUUUGCACCAUUUAUUAGCCCCAUGCCUGAGCACAAACUGUGCUCUAGAUCCUGGCUUCUCAGACAGCUCCCCUACUGCACUAGUUCAAAUAAGACCAUAAAGCAGCCCUAAUUAGACAGCUGAGGGGAAUUCUAGGCAGCAUGGAGAGGUUCUGGCAGGAGGCAUGGUUAGUGCAUUGCUACUUUCUAGAACCUGGCUGGUAUAAUAGCUGCUAUCCCACAGUGAGCACAAUACUCAGUAGCUCACCCAGCCGGGUGUAGCUGCAGUAUGCUCCCUGCAGCCCAGAAAUUCUCCUAAGCAUUGCCAGCACCUAUGUCAGCUAACCCAAAAUUCAUCCCUCUAACAUCCCUUGGCUCUUCCCUAUAAAUGCAGCCAUUGAAAUAUUUUCCUGGGCCUUUAAAGCAGUGUAAGCUUUUCCAACUUUCAUGCCCCCGGAAAGGAUUGAAUUCAAAAGGUAUUUGCUACACCUGUCACAUCUUAUUUUUCAUGUAAGCUGCUACCAGACUUUUAUUCAUCAGAGUUAAGAAUAUUUAUGGCUAAAAUUGUGUCCUCAUGACCUUUGGUUGUCCCACAGAUAUACAGCCCAUCUAUAUCAACUUCAUAGCCACAGUAGAAUACAAGCUGUAUGUUCAACUUAUUACCUUCCCAUGAAACAUUUAGCUCCACAAGCAUGGUUCAAACUGUUAGUUGUCCACUUUUACAAGAAUCAUUUUCAGAAGACUGACUUCAGUGAAAUGUUUGCAUGGUAAUAAUGGUCCACCAGAUGUUUUUCCCUUUAGAAGAGAUUACGCCAAUAUAGUUAGAAUAUCUUCGUGUGUCUCGGUGAUAUAGCACACCUAGUGCAAGUUAGGGACCUCAUUGAGCUCACUUUUACAUACAACCUGCUGCCAGGCUACAUUCUUGUAUCUCACGCAAUACAUUAACACGAGGCCAGUAGAUGUGUUCAGAUCCUUCCUAAGUGAGAAGCUGAUUUCUAUGGUUAAGACAGCUGAAAAAACAUAAUGGGGUGGUUGUGGUGUCAAUAGGAAAGCUCAGCUUGAGCAACUAUGAGUUAAUUUAAAAAAAUAAUGCAUAAAGCCUGUGCGCUAACAAUAUGCAAAAUUAAGCACAUCAGGGCCUUUAUCUUUAAAGGAUUGCAACUAACUGGCUGGCACGAGGCAAGACAAAAAAGGGUAGUGAAGUAUGAUACUUGAUGGUGAAGGAAGCCUUGGUUGCAUUUUAAAUAUUCAAUACAUUUUUUUUUCCCCCCCCCCCCCCCCCCCAACAGUUUUACCCAAUUCAAAUAGAAGUUUUUCAGUUCUUGCCUUACUUCCUGCUAGCUGGGCAUGGGAAUUGUCCCUUAGGUUACAAUGGUAGUACUGUUUAGAGACUGAGCUUCUUCUCUACACUAGAAGAGAUUAAACAUGGAAUAAUACCCUAAAUAAAGUUUGAAAUAACAUUUAUAUAAACACUUCGGUAACAACAAAUGCUGAAAGCAUUUUCCUCCUACUUUUUCACCCCCUCACGCUAGUGGAUUUUUUUUAUAAUAGAGGAAGUGCUCUUCUUCACCCAUUAAAGUCUUCAUCAGUUACAAGGUAUGGCUGUAAAUCACACAAGUCCAUAUUGAGGGAUCUUUUCACAUCAGCACCUAGUGGCCAUUAGUGUAUCUACUGAAGGACUUUCAGGUUCUGUAUAAAGGCUAAAGCCUCAUUCCAUUUCCUUAUAAAUUUAUCAUUUAAGUAGUUUUGUGUCAAGGGCUACUGCAAUGUUAUUGCUUCAAAAAAAUCUUGAUAUGGAGGUAUGUGAUUAGUCUAUGGGGUGAAGGCGUAUUGGCAUGACUGUUACUAUCACUACACCAGUGGACAGAGACUACGCCAGCUGCAGUUUGUUUCUCCCUGUCUGAUCAUAGCUCCCUUGAAGUGAUGUGGAAAAUAAAUGUGCACAGCCCUAGCUGGACUAUUUUACUUUAAAAAUUAGUUCAACUUUAAGCUUUUGAGCAAAUAGUAGGUUUGUUUUUUUGUUUUUUUUAAAUGUCUUAGGUAUUAAAAUAGUUACACCUUGCUGCCUGUUUUGGUGAAUUAUAGACACCACUACACAGGUAAUUUGUUCUGGUUAUUCCUUAAUACAUGUCUUUCUACAGUAUUUUUGCCUAUUGGUAUCAUUACCUGUUUCUUCCUAGAUAUCCACCUGGCAUGGUCAGUGUCGCACCUGGGGGGAUUCCAGCAGCAAUGGAGGGCAUCAUACCUGGAGGCAUUCCCGUUACCCACAAUCUUCCAACAGUGGCACACCCUUCCCAAGCUCCAUCUCCUAACCAGCCCA